rnacentral:rRNA from 1 species
AGUGAACGCUGGCGGUAGGCCUAACACAUGCAAGUCGAACGGCAGCACAGUAAGAGCUUGCUCUUACGGGUGGCGAGUGGCGGACAGGUGAGGAAUACAUCGGUAUCUACUUUUUCGUGGGGGAUAACGUAGGGAAACUUACGCUAAUACCGCAUACGACCUACGGGUGAAAGCAGGGGAUCUUCGGACCUUGCUCGAUUGAAUGAGCCGAUGUCGGAUUAGCUAGUUGGCGGGGUAAAGGCCCACCAAGGCGACGAUCCGUAGCUGGUCUGAGAGGAUGAUCAGCCACACUGGAACUGAGACACGGUCCAGACUCCUACGGGAGGCAGCAGUGGGGAAUAUUGGACAAUGGGCGCAAGCCUGAUCCAGCCAUACCGCGUGGGUGAAGAAGGCCUUCGGGUUGUAAAGCCCUUUUGUUGGGAAAGAAAAGCAGCAGGUUAAUACCCCGCUGUUCUGACGGUACCCAAAGAAUAAGCACCGGCUAACUUCGUG